rnacentral:rRNA from 1 species
AGAGUUUGAUCCUGGCUCAGAUUGAACGCUAACGGCAUGCCUAACACAUGCAAGUCGAACGAUCUGCGAGGGCAGAAAACGGAAGAGAGAUAGUUGUCUUUCGUUUUCUGUUCUCAAGGAUAGUGGCGGACGGGUGAGUAAUUCAUAGGAACUUGCCAUUAAGAGGGGGAUAACCCGGGGAAACUCGGGCUAAUACCGCGUACGCUCUACGGAGGAAAGGAGGGGAUCCGCAAGGACCUUCCGCUUAAUGAGAGGCCUAUGUUGGAUUAGCUAGUUGGUAGGGUAAAGGCCUACCAAGGCGACGAUCCAUAGCUGGUCUGAGAGGAUGAUCAGCCACACUGGAACUGAGAUACGGUCCAGACUCCUACGGGAGGCAGCAGUGGGGAAUAUUGGACAAUGGGGGAAACCCUGAUCCAGCAAUGCCGCGUGUGUGAAGAAGGCCUAAGGGUUGUAAAGCACUUUUGGUAAGGAGGAGAAGCGUUGAACGAAUAAUUCAACGUGGAGACGUUACUUACAGAAUAAGCACCGGCUAACUCUGUGCCAGCAGCCGCGGUAAUACAGAGGGUGCGAGCGUUAAUCGGAAUGAUUGGGCGUAAAGCGCGCGUAGGCGGUAAGAAAAGUUGGAUGUGAAAUCUUCGGGCUUAACCUGGAAACGGCAUCCAAAACUGACUUGCUAGAAUUCAGCAGAGGAAAGUAGAAUUUCCAGUGUAGCGGUGAAAUGCGUAGAUAUUGGAAGGAAUACCAGAGGCGAAGGCGGCUUUCUGGGCUGAAAUUGACGCUAAGGCGCGAAAGCGUGGGGAGCAAACAGGAUUAGAUACCCUGGUAGUCCACGCCGUAAACGAUGAGAACUAGCUGUUGGUGUCGAAAGACAUAAGUGGCGCAGUUAACACGAUAAGUUCUCCGCCUGGGGAGUACGACCGCAAGGUUAAAACUCAAAGGAAUUGACGGGGGCCCGCACAAGCGGUGGAGCAUGUGGUUUAAUUCGAUGCAACGCGAAGAACCUUACCUACCCUUGACAUCCUACGAAUCUCUAAGAGAUUAGAGAGUGCCCGAAAGGGAGCGUGGAGACAGGUGCUGCAUGGCUGUCGUCAGCUCGUGUCGUGAGAUGUAGGGUUAAGUCCCGUAACGAGCGCAACCCCUGUUCUUAGUUACCAUCUAUUUAGUAGGGUACUUUAAGAAGACUGCCAGUGAUAAACUGGAGGAAGGCGGGGACGACGUCAAGUCAUCAUGACCUUUAUGGGUAGGGCUACACACGUGCUACAAUGGGAAGUACAGAGGGAAGCGAACCUGCGAGGGUAAGCGGAUCCCAAAAAGCUUUCCGUAAUUUGGAUUGGAGUCUGCAACUCGGCUCCAUGAAACUGGAAUCGUUAGUAAUCGCAGAUCAGCGCGCUGCGGUGAAUACGUUCUCGGGCCUUGUACACACCGCCCGUCACACCAUGGAAGUGGGUUAUACCAGAAGCAGGUAGAAUAACCGAAAGGAGUUCGCCUACCACGGUAUGAUUCAUGACUGGGGUGAAGUCGUAACAAGGUA